UGCAAGUCGAACGAGAGAGAAGGAGCUUGCUUCUUCGAUCGAGUGGCGAACGGGUGAGUAACGCGUGAGGAACCUGCCUCAAAGAGGGGGACAACAGUUGGAAACGACUGCUAAUACCGCAUAAGCCCACGGGUCGGCAUCGAUCUGAGGGAAAAGGAGCAAUCCGCUUUGAGAUGGCCUCGCGUCCGAUUAGCUAGUUGGUGAGGUAACGGCCCACCAAGGCGACGAUCGGUAGCCGGACUGAGAGGUUGAACGGCCACAUUGGGACUGAGACACGGCCCAGACUCCUACGGGAGGCAGCAGUGGGGAAUAUUGCACAAUGGGGGAAACCCUGAUGCAGCGACGCCGCGUGGAGGAAGAAGGUCUUCGGAUUGUAAACUCCUGUUGUUGAGGAAGAUAAUGACGGUACUCAACAAGGAAGUGACGGCCAACUACGUGCCAGCAGCCGCGGUAAAACGUAGGUCACAAGCGUUGUCCGGAAUUACUGGGUGUAAAGGGAGCGCAGGCGGGAAGACAAGUUGGAAGUGAAAUCUGUGGGCUCAACCCAUAAACUGCUUUCAAAACUGUUUUUCUUGAGUAGUGCAGAGGUAGGCGGAAUUCCCGGUGUAGCGGUGGAAUGCGUAGAUAUCGGGAGGAACACCAGUGGCGAAGGCGGCCUACUGGGCACCAACUGACGCUGAGGCUCGAAAGUGUGGGUAGCAAACAGGAUUAGAUACCCUGGUAGUCCACACCGUAAACGAUGAUUACUAGGUGUUGGAGGAUUGACCCCUUCAGUGCCGCAGUUAACACAAUAAGUAAUCCACCUGGGG
rnacentral:rRNA from 1 species